AAUGAACGCUGGCGGCAGGCCUAAAACAUGCAAGUCGAACGCUGUAGCAAUACAGAGUGGCGCACGGGUGAGUAACAUGUGGGAAUAUGCCUAUUGGUACGGAACAACGUUUGGAAACGAACGCUAAUACCGUAUGGUCCCUUCGGGGUAAAGAUUUAUCGCCAAUAGAUUAGCCCGCACUAGAUUAGCUAGUUGGUGAGGUAAGAGCUCACCAAGGCGACGAUCUAUAGCUGGUCUGAGAGGACGAUCAGCCACACUGGGACUGAGACACGGCCCAGACUCCUACGGGAGGCAGCAGUUAGGAAUAUUGGACAAUGGGCGCAAGCCUGAUCCAGCCAUGCCGCGUGAGUGAUGAAGGCCUUCGGUUGUAAACGUACUUUAGUCCGACUGAAUAUAAUAGACUGUAG
rnacentral:rRNA from 1 species